ensembl:lncRNA
UAGUCAUGGUUUUUUAGAAGCAUGGUAGCCAGAAAAAUUAAGCCUAAGCUGACUGUUGAUUCCUCAUGUGGAAAACAGAACAUCCUCUUUUGCAAUUCAGUUCCCUACUUUUGCGUCUAUUCAUUUCCAUUUACUCAAAUGACCAUCAGUAUUUCCAGCAUGACACAGCCCUGGAACCAGAAAUAGAUCCCUGUGUUAAGCUGUUAUGGUUUUGUGAUUUUUUGUUGUCGGUAUUCCACAUCAUUACAUCAUGUAAGGUAUGGGCAGUUAAAGAGUUAAUUCCCCGGUUACUGCAAACUACCUUUUUUGGUGUGGCCCUCUGAGGGGGAGGGGAGGAGGUGCACUCCCCAGGGGUCUUUGCAUUAGAGGGGGUGGUGAAGCCACGUGGGAGAGGCGGGGGCUGUUCUUCCCAGCCCGGCGGAGAAAGCACGUGGUCCUCCUGCAGUUUACUGUGUAAGAUUUUCAGCCUGUAAACCCUCUAUCAUAAUUCUACUAGCCUCAUUUUGAUAUAUUUAGUAAAAUUAGUUGUUCCUCCUCAGAUCGGUGCCGCUGUUUUUGUGUUAAAUCUGUCUGCGGGUCCCCCUCUUCCCAGGUUGCGGCUCCGCGGCUUCUCUGCUGCUUUAGCCGCCGGACUGCCCGGGGGCUGGCUCUUAUCGCCGGCAAUUUUUUUUUCUUUCCUUCCUCUUCUCUCGUUUUUUUUUCUUUCGGGCCUGUCCCCCUUGUCACGGACGCAGACCCUUAGACAAUACCGUGACAAAUAUUGGUGGAGGAUGCGGGCACUAGAUCUGCUUUCAAUUUUUGGAAUGAUGCAUAAAGGAUUAACGGUAAUCAUGUUCCUCGGAACAUACUGGUUUCUGGUAAUGGCUAUCAUGUUCUGUGUUGGAGUUGUGUGUACAUAUAACUACAUAAUGGCGCUGAUGGAGAUACCGGCCUGGUGCUUGUACCUCCCGGAGGGAGUGGCUAGUUUUACAAACAGCACCGUGGUGAGGCUGGCUUCCAAGUUCUCCCCUCAGUUCCUUAUGCACCCUUGGAAUUUCAAUCUAGCAAUCGUGAUACCAAUAGCUUUGAAUGUUUUCCUCCUAAUAAUAAUUAACAUUAUGUGGAGGAAACUCUCCCCAAAACCGGAAAAUGCUGAGUGGCAGGGAAUAUGGAGAGGCCUAGGGAAGACCUUAGAAACAUGGGGACCCCCGGUGUCAUGGGAUUUCACCCUUGAACACCUGUGGGAUCCUGAGAAGCUCGGUCAGUUUUUGAGUCAGGGAUGGCGCGGCCUAGGCAGAUCUGAGGAGGCACAACUUAUUUGGGGCCUGGCUUGUGCUUAUCAAGCUCUAUACAACACUGUUCUUGAGAGAGAAAGUUUCCCGGCUGAAAUUCGAACCAGAGGGGGAAGCCCCCAAGCUAAACCUGAGCAAGCACAGGAGGCACCAGUAUCCGUGGCAGUUGCUCCUGUGGAAAGACAGAAAGGGAAACGGGUGCCCUCGCGUCUGGAACGGAAGGAAGAAGCGGAGAAGGUAGAGGAAGAAGCGGAGAAGGUAGAGGAAGAAGCGGAGAAGGUAGAGGAAGAUCCAGGCGAGGGGCCCUCCCCGAACGCAUCGUUACCAACAAAGGCAACCGAAGAAAACAAGAGACAUGGAGAGGAUAGGGAGGAGGAAGGCGUCACUGUUACAACUGUCCGCCGACCUCUGAUAAUGACCGAAAUCAUAGGCUCAAGAAAGGAGUGUGACGAACCCGUAGCAGUAUUGGAAACACCUGAUGGAGAUCAGGAUGGUCAGAAGAGCCUACUGAAGGAGCUGAUCAAACUAAUUACAGGCGAUGAACUCUCCUCCUCACCUGUAUCAUCAAAAAUCUCAGCUAUCAGAGGCAGACGCCUUCCUGCUCGAGCAAAUGAUGGUGGCAGAUCUAUGGCACGUGCCGCCUUGUGGAGUUACUUACGCGAGCAUGGAGAAGACAUGAAACAAUGGCAUAAGAAACCCACUCCGGUACUACGAGCACGGGUGAGAGAAUUACAGUGCAGAUUAACCACUGAUGAAGUUGCUGAACUCACUACAGGUAACCAAUAGAGGGGCCCUGCCCUCAGUCAGGGGAGGGAAAGGGAUAAUAGAGUCUAUUGGACUGUGUGGAUUCAAUGGCCUGGCACUUCAGACCCACAGAAAUACGAGGCACUGGUGGACACUGGUGCGCAGUGCACUCUAAUGCCCUCGAGUCAUGAAGGGACAGAUUUGAUUUGUAUUUCUGGAGUGACUGGGGGCUCUCAAGAAUUGACUGUGCUGGAGGCAGAAAUAAGCCUUACUGGUAAAGACUGGCAGAGACAUCCUAUUGUAACUGGUCCAGGGGCUCCGUGUAUACUUGAUAUUGAUUACCUCAGAAGGGGACAUUUCAAGGAUCCCAAAGGGUAUCGAUGGGUCUUUGGAGUAGCUGCCGUAGACACAGACAACAUUAAGCAGCUGUCUGUUUUGCCUGGCCUGUCAGAAGAUCCCUCUGUGGUGGGGCUGCUAAAAGUAAAAGAGCAACAGGUACCAAUUGCCACAGAAACGGUGCACAGGUGGCAGUACCGCACCAACAGGGAUUCCUUGCUCCCCAUUCAUAAGUUGAUUCGUCAACUAGAGAGCCAGGGAGUGAUCAGCAAAACUCACUCACCUUUUAACAGCCCCAUAUGGCCAGUGCGUAAGGCCAGUGGAGAAUGGAGGCUGACAGUAGACUACUGCGGCCUGAAUGAAGUUACACCCCCACUGAGUGCUGCUGUGCCGGACAUGCUAGAACUCCAGUAUGAACUGGAGUCCAAAGCAGCCAAGUGGUAUGCCACCAUUGACAUUGCUAAUGCCUUCUUCUCCAUUCCUUUGGCCACAGAAUGCAGGCCACAGUUUGCUUUUACCUGGAGGGGCAUUCAGUAUACCUGGAACCGUUUGCCCCAGGGGUGGAAACACAGCCCAGCCAUCUGCCACGGGUUGAUUCAAAGCGCACUGGAAUAGGGCGGUGCUCCCGAGCACCUGCAGUAUAUUGAUGAUAUUGUUGUGUGGGGCAAUACAGCAGAGGAAGUUUUCAAGAAGGGGGAGAGAAUAA